GUGCUUGCACCUCUGGCGUCGAGCGGCGGACGGGUGAGUAAUGCUUGGGAAUAUGCCUUAUGGUGGGGGACAACAGUUGGAAACGACUGCUAAUACCGCAUGAUGUCUACGGACCAAAGUGGGGGACCUUCGGGCCUCACGCCAUAAGAUUAGCCCAAGUGGGAUUAGCUAGUUGGUGAGGUAAUGGCUCACCAAGGCGACGAUCCCUAGCUGGUUUGAGAGGAUGAUCAGCCACACUGGGACUGAGACACGGCCCAGACUCCUACGGGAGGCAGCAGUGGGGAAUAUUGCACAAUGGGCGCAAGCCUGAUGCAGCCAUGCCGCGUGUGUGAAGAAGGCCUUCGGGUUGUAAAGCACUUUCAGUAAGGAGGAAAGGUUAAGUGUUAAUAGCACUUAGCUGUGACGUUACUUACAGAAGAAGCACCGGCUAACUCCGUGCCAGCAGCCGCGGUAAUACGGAGGGUGCGAGCGUUAAUCGGAAUUACUGGGCGUAAAGCGUACGCAGGCGGUUUGUUAAGCGAGAUGUG
rnacentral:rRNA from 1 species